UAACCCCACGCGCCUGAAAUUGUUUUUCUCUCAAAUUUUUUUCUCGCCCUUGCCGCAACCUCGAGCGUCUUCUCCGGUGACUGGUGGUUGGUGCCUUCUUUAGCAUCACACCGGUCACCCCUCUUUUCUUUUAUCGUUGCUCCACUCCGGUGCUUGAGAUUCUCGGCCAAGUCUCGAUUAUGCUAUGUUUCUCGCGGCGAGUGUUGGAGAUCCGCCGUGCGUGACGGCCUCUUACGGUGGUCGGGAUCUUUUCCUCUGUGGCUCUAUUGCUUGUCGACGGCGAUAGACGAACGGCUGAGUCUUGUUUCCUUCCCUUGCGUCUCGCAUCUCGACCGGCGGAGCAAGCCUCGCUUGCAGAUCUACUUCUAGAUCGUCUCCUUCCUGGUGUUUCUGGUGGCGAUAGAAGUUUCUAUCGGCGGCGCUAUGGUGUCGCUUCUCCGCUUUGCAAGGAUUCACAUUUUCCAAGCCUCCGCUUGGAUUAACCGCCGUGCAUUGUCUCGCUUUUUUCGGAGGUUUGUCAUCUUUCUGAUGGGUUGUUUCGCUUGAGGACGGCCAAAUUCCAGAGGUUAGGUGCUACUGUCCCUUCCGCGUGAGUCGAUUUCGUGCGUUGGAGUUAGUUUCGCUUUGAGUGGUUUUCAGUGGCUCCGUCGAAGCUUCUCGGCCGUGUUGGUUGUGUUGUUCUUCGUCUUGAGUCGUUGAAGCCUCUACCGCUCUUGUUACUCUCCUUCGCAUAGGUUUCAGAGUAUCGCUGCUAGUUGGUUUCAGUUUGGGCGUUCUCCUUGACGGCGAGACUAGGCGAUUUGAUGAACAUUUCUCUGUUGGCAACUUCUGCUUGAGGACAGUGGCAGGACUAUUAGGAGGAUGUUCUGACGUGGCACGUCUGCUGACUUCGGGGAAUGAACUUGGUAGAGGGAGCUCGUACCGUUUCGCAUAUUUUGGCUUGUGAGGUUCCGUUCAGGGAAAGCUCAUGGAUAUGUUCGCAGAACCGCUCUCACAUGACGGGAGGAGUAUGUGAUCGAGGGCUUUGAGUUCUAUGCCGUUGACGGCUCGGUCUCGGACCUCCUUUGAAAGGCUUCUGAAGCUAAGCGUCCUGUGAAUCUAGGUGUUUACAAUUUGCAGUCGCCCUUCUUCUUCAGCAACUAAUCCGGGAAGAACAAUAAAAUCGUCAUCGCUUCAUCUAACUCCCUUAGCCUCGUUGCUUUGGUUGAGUGGAUGGACCGAGUUCUUUGGCUUCCAAAUUAUGCUUCCAUGUUUUAAUUUUUUUUGCCAUGGGACCAUUUGUAUAGGUCUAUAAUCUUUGAUUGUAAACCUAAACUGUUUUCAUUUUCUAUGAAAUAUUUACCUUCU